UAUACGACCGUACCGCAAACCGACACUGGUGCGCGAGAUGAGUAUUCUAAGGCGCUUGAGAGAACUCAGGAGAAGGAACUCGGCAAAUUGACACCGUAACUUCGGAAGAAGGUGUGCCCUAUUAGUGUGUAGUGAACAACGAAGCAUGAAUGGGUUGCAAAAAAUCGGUGGCUGCGACUGUUUAUUAAAAACACAGCACUCUGCAAACACGAAAGUGGACGUAUAGGGUGUGACGCCUGCCCGGUGCUGGAAGAUUAAAUGAUGGGGUGCAAGCUCUUGAUUGAAGUCCCAGUAAACGGCGGCCGUAACAAUAACGGUCCUAAGGUAGCGAAAUUCCUUGUCGGGUAAGUUCCGACCUGCACGAAUGGCGUAACGAUGGCCACACUGUCUCCUCCUGAGACUCAGCGAAGUUGAAAUGUUUGUGAUGAUGCAAUCUCCCCGCGGAAAGACGGAAAGACCCCAUGAACCUUUACUGUAGCUUUGUAUUGGACUUUGAACAGAUCUGUGUAGGAUAGGUGGGAGGCUUUGAAGCAGGGUCGCUAGAUCUUGUGGAGCCAACGUUGAAAUACCACCCUGGUGUGUUUGAGGUUCUAACCUAGGUCCAUUAUCUGGAUCGGGGACAGUGCAUGGUAGGCAGUUUGACUGGGGCGGUCUCCUCCCAAAGCGUAACGGAGGAGUUCGAAGGUACGCUAGUUACGGUCGGACAUCGUGACGAUAGUGCAAUGGCAUAAGCGUGCUUAACUGCGAGACUGACAAGUCGAGCAGAUGCGAAAGCAGGACAUAGUGAUCCGGUGGUUCUGUAUGGAAGGGCCAUCGCUCAACGGAUAAAAGGUACUCUGGGGAUAGCAGGCUGAUACCGCCCAAGAGUUCAUAUCGACGGCGGUGUUUGGCACCUCGAUGUCGGCUCAUCUCAUCCUGGGGCUGUAGCCGGUCCCAAGGGUAUGGCUGUUCGCCAUUUAAAGAGGUACGUGAGCUGGGUUUAAAACGUCGUGAGACAGUUUGGUCCCUAUCUUCCGUGGGCGCUGCAGAUUUGAGGAAGCCUGCUCCUAGUACGAGAGGACCGGAGUGGACACACCUCUGGUGUAUCGGUUGUCACGCCAGUGGCAUUGCCGAGUAGCUAAGUGUGGAAGAGAUAACCGCUGAAAGCAUCUAAGCGGGAAACUCGUUUCAAGAUGAGAUCUGCCGGGGCCUUGAGCCCCCUAAAGAGUCGUUCAAGACCAGGACGUUGAUAGGUCAGGUGUGGAAGCG
rnacentral:rRNA from 1 species